GAUUAACGCUGGCGGUAUGCAUAACACAUGCAAGUCGAGCGAGAAAGUUCCUUCGGGAGCGAGUACAGCGGCGAACGGGUGAGUAACACGUUGGAACCUACCUCUAACUCAGGGAUAGCCCACUGAAAAGUGGAUUAAUACCGGAUAGUCCCUUCGGGGUAAAGAUUUUUCGGUUAGAGAUGGUCCUGCGGACUAUCAGCUUGUUGGUGAGGUAAUGGCUCACCAAGGCGAUGACGGUUAGCUGGUCUGAGAGGAUGAUCAGCCACAAUGGGACUGAGACACGGCCCAUACUCCUACGGGAGGCAGCAGUGAGGAAUUUUGCGCAAUGGGGGAAACCCUGACGCAGCAAUACCGCGUGGAGGAUGACGGCUCUAGGGUUGUAAACUCCUUUUAUCUGGGAAGAAUUUUGACGGUACCAGAUGAAUAAGUCACGGCUAACUACGUGCCAGCGCCGCGGUAA
rnacentral:rRNA from 1 species